rnacentral:rRNA from 1 species
CGAAUACGAGACGCUACGGCGUCGAAGUAGUGUAUGUCAUACUUCCAAGAAAAGCUUGCACUGUCAUAGAUAAAAAAUGCCUGUACCAUAACCGACACAGGUGGGUAGGUAGAGUAUACUAAGGGGCGCGAGAUAACUCUCUCUAAGGAACUCGGCAAAAUAACUCCGUAACUUCGGGAGAAGGAGUGCCUUAUUUAAAUAAGGUUGCAAUAACAAGAUCCAAGCAACUGUUUACCAAAAACACAGGUCUCCGCUAAGUCGUAAGACGACGUAUGGGGGCUGACGCCUGCCCAGUGCCAGAAGGUUAAAGAAGUUGGUUAGCAUCUGCGAAGCUGGUAACUGAAGCCCUGGUGAACGGCGGCCGUAACCAUAACGGUCCUAAGGUAGCGAAAUUCCUUGUCGGGUAAGUUCCGACCCGCACGAAAGGCGUAAUGAUUUGGAUACUGUCUCGGAGAGGGGCUCGGUGAAAUAGACUUGUCUGUGAAGAUGCGGACUACCUGCACCUGGACAGAAAGACCCUAUGAAGCUUUACUGUAACUUGAAAUUGAAAUUGGACUUUGUUCGCGCAGUAUAGGUGGGAGGCGUUGAAAAUACUCUUGCGGGAGUAUUGGAGCUAUCAGUGAGAUACCACUCUUAUAAUGUUAGAUUUCUAACUUUGAACCAUUAUCUGGUCAAAGAACAGUUUCAGGCGGGCAGUUUGACUGGGGCGGUCGCCUACCAAACGGUAACGGAGGCGUACAAAGGUUUCCUCUGAACGGAUAGAAAUCGUAUCUAGAGUAUAAAGGCAUAAGGAAGCUUGACUGUGAGACCUACAAGUCGAGCAGGGACGAAAGUCGGUCUUAGUGAUCUGACGGUACUGAGUGGAAAGGCCGUCACUCAGCGGAUAAAAGUUACUCUAGGAUAACAGGCUGAUCUCCCCCAAGAGUUCACAUCGACGGGGAGGUUUGGCACCUCGAUGUCGGCUCAUCGCAUCCUGGGGCGGUAGUACGUCCCAAGGGUUGGGCUGUUCGCCCAUGAAAGCGGUACGCGAGCUGGGUUCAGAACGUCGUGAGACAGUUCGGUCCAUAUCCGGUGUAGGCGUUAGAAUAUUGAGAGGAGCCUUCUCUAGUACGAGAGGACCGAGAAGGACAUACCUCUGGUGUACCAGUUAUCGUGCCAACGGUAAACGCUGGGUAGCUAUGUAUGGAGUGGAUAACCGCUGAAAGCAUCUAAGUGGGAAGCCCACCUCAAGAUAAGUA